rnacentral:rRNA from 1 species
CUGUCCAAGGAGGUGCUUGUUCAAGUGGCCUCGCUUGAAUCAUCUCAUGCGAUCUGGACGGCAUUAGCAAAUAUGUUCUCUGCAGUUUCCUUGUCUCGCGUGAACAACAUCAGAUCCGCCCUCACCAAUGCCCAGAAAGGAUCUCAAUCCGCCUCCACCUACUUCGGGCAAAUGCGCGCCCUCUCUGACGAGCUUGCGGCGGCGGGCAAACCGCUUGGGGAGGGAGAGCUCAUCUCCUUCAUCGUCGCCGGGCUUGACAUGGAGUAUCAACCGAUCAUCUCUGCACUCGACGUCCGCACCGAGCCCAUCACCGUCGACGCGCUCUUCUCGAUGGUAGCCAACUUUGAUCAGCGCGUUGAGAUGUUCAACGGCGCCGAUGGCUUCAAGUCAUCGGCAAACACGGUCUCC